rnacentral:sRNA from 1 species
AAGAGCGCGGCCGAAAAUCUUCACGCAGCCUAAUGUACCAUCGGUCUUUGACCACGGAUGUACUGGCAUUGACCGCAUGUCGAAAGGUCGAGGAAUGUCCUCGGCCUUUUUUUGU